AGGGAGGCUCACUAAAUUGAUAAGCGGUGCUAAAUUUGAAGGGAUAUUGGGCAACCGUCGGAUGUUUCUAGGAGUGGAUAUGAAGGAGAUUUUAUGACCCCUUUGGGCUAUGUGCUUGGCAAGAUCAAGGAAUGGGAUUAAAUGACCAAACGCCAACCAUGGAAACAAAGCAACAUGAAGCUUUUUACCAGGUUCACUCAUCAUGAGUUGGUGAUGGCGGUGAUUCUCCGAUAUCAAACCCUCUCACUUGCAGGCGUUAGUGAUAUUCUUGCCACUCUACUCAGCACUCAAAAUAUGAAGACGCGGAUUUACCUAUUUUAAAGGUCGGUCUAGAAUCCCCUAAAGACAAAUUAUAUUUUAUAUUCGAAACAUGUGGUGAUUUAUUUACAUAAAUAAAAUAAAAUAAAA
rnacentral:misc_RNA from 1 species